AUACAGAGGGUGCGAGCGUUAAUCGGAUUUACUGGGCGUAAAGCGCGCGUAGGUGGCUAAUUAAGUCAAAUGUGAAAUCCCCGAGCUUAACUUGGGAAUUGCAUUCGAUACUGGUUAGCUAGAGUAUGGGAGAGGAUGGUAGAAUUCCAGGUGUAGCGGUGAAAUGCGUAGAGAUCUGGAGGAAUACCGAUGGCGAAGGCAGCCAUCUGGCCUAAUACUGACACUGAGGUGCGAAAGCAUGGGGAGCAAACAGGAUUAGAUACCCUGGUAGUCCAUGCCGUAAACGAUGUCUACUAGCCGUUGGGGGAUUUGAUCCUUUAGUGGCGCAGCUAACGCGAUAAGUAGACCGUCUGGGGAGUACGGUCGCAAGACUAAAACUCAAAUGAAUUGGCGGGG
rnacentral:rRNA from 1 species